rnacentral:rRNA from 1 species
GCCCUCCGGGGGAAAGGUCAGCCGCUGAAAGAGGGGCCCGCGUCUGAUUAGCUUGUUGGUAAGGUAAUGGCUUACCAAGGCAACGAUCAGUAGCUGGUCUGAGAGGAUGAUCAGCCACACUGGGACUGAGACACGGCCCAGACUCCUACGGGAGGCAGCAGUGGGGAAUAUUGGACAAUGGAGGCAACUCUGAUCCAGCAAUGCCGCGUGUGUGAUGAAGGCCCUAGGGUGGUAAAGCACUUUCAACGGUGA